rnacentral:rRNA from 1 species
UACGUAGGGCGCGAGCGUUGUCCGGAAUUACUGGGCGUAAAGAGCUCGUAGGUGGUUUGUCGCGUCGACUGUGAAAUCCCGAGGCUCAACUUCGGGCUUGCAGUCGAUACGGGCAGGCUAGAGUUCGGUAGGGGAGACUGGAAUUCCUGGUGUAGCGGUGAAAUGCGCAGAUAUCAGGAGGAACACCAGUGGCGAAAGCGGCUUCCUGGUCCGACACCGACGUUCAGGCACGAAAGCGUGGGGAGCAAACAGG